AUUGAACGCUGGCGGCAUGCCUUACACAUGCAAGUCGAACGGCAGCGGGCCUUCGGGUGCCGGCGAGUGGCGAACGGGUGAGUAAUGCAUCGGAACGUGCCAUUGAGUGGGGGAUAACGUAGCGAAAGUUGCGCUAAUACCGCAUAUUCUGUGAGCAGGAAAGCAGGGGACCGCAAGGCCUUGCGCUCUUUGAGCGGCCGAUGUCAGAUUAGCUAGUUGGUGAGGUAAAGGCUUACCAAGGCGACGAUCUGUAGCGGGUCUGAGAGGAUGAUCCGCCACACUGGAACUGAGACACGGUCCAGACUCCUACGGGAGGCAACAGUGGGGAAUUUUGGACAAUGGGGGCAACCCUGAUCCAGCCAUGCCGCGUGAGUGAAGAAGGCCUUCGG
rnacentral:rRNA from 1 species